GCGAUAAACGGUCACAUUAAAUUUAACCUGACUAUUCCACUGCAACAACUGAACGGACUGGAAACACUGGUCAUAAUCAUGGUGGCGAAUAAGUACGCGUUCUUGCAAAUCACCAGAAGGCGGUUCCUGAAUGAAUGGGAAGCCUUCAAGAAGGUGAUAAGCAGGAGAAACAUACGAAGGCGCAUAACGAUACCACUGACCCUCAGCAAUCUUAAACUUCUUAGACGAAUCACCAGAACGGAAAACAUCCUUCAUAGAAAUUUCACGCGGCGGCAAGUUGCCAUACAAAACAGGGUCGCCAGCAAUAUCGGUAUAAGUCAAAGCACCUUUAGCGUUAAGGUACUGAAUCUCUUUAGUCGCAGUA
rnacentral:rRNA from 1 species